GACGAACGCUGGCGGCGUGCUUAACACAUGCAAGUCGAACGAAGUGGCGAACGGGUGAGUAACGCGUAAUCAACCUGCCCUUCAGAGGGGGACAACAGUUGGAAACGACUGCUAAUACCGCAUACUGAAGGAGGGGAUUGCGUCUGAUUAGCUAGUUGGAGGGGUAACGGCCCACCAAGGGGAUGAUCAGUAGCCGGGCUGGAGGGGUGGACGGGCAAAUUGGGACUGGGAAAAGGCCCAGAAUCCUACGGGAGGGAGCAGGGGGGGAUCUUGCGAAAUGGACGAAAGUCUGACGGAGCAACGCCGCGUGAGUGAUGACGGCCUUCGGGUUGUAAAGCUCUGUUAAUCGGGACGCGGUACCGGAAGAGAAAGCCACGGCUAACUACGUGCCAGCCGCCGCGGUAAUUC
rnacentral:rRNA from 1 species